CAAGGACUGAAACUAAGUUCUUUAGGUCCAAGACGUGGAACACUGUUUCACUGGAAUAUCAUUAGGCUAGUGCAUCAGUAACAUGUUAAUUAUUAAUAACGAAUUCUCAGUGACUUUUGUGAAUAGUUAAUCUUGGCCACUGGCUGGUAGACCUAACUUAUACCACAAAAGCCAAUGAUAUGAUGAACCAAGAUUAAUGCCACUCCAUAUGGAGGGCUGCCUGGAAGUGUGUAACUUCAGUACCAAUCAGAUGGUACCAUCUUAUAAAGCCUCUUCUUGUAACAGUGAAAACUUGUGGGUAGGACAGUGGAUGAAGUUUAUUGCUCAACUACUCCUCCAGCUUGUCCAAUUUAAUGACUAAAGGAAUAGAGAGAAAAAAUGAUGGUUUUCUCAAUUUCAUAGAAAAGAAUGGUUUAUCCAUUCAUUCUUUACAUU
rnacentral:lncRNA from 1 species